rnacentral:rRNA from 1 species
UACGUAGGGUGCGAGCGUUAAUCGGAAUUACUGGGCGUAAAGCGUGCGCAGGCGGUUCCGCAAGUCAGAUGUGAAAUCCCCGGGCUUAACCUGGGAACUGCGUUUGAAACUAUGGAGCUAGAGUGCGGCAGAGGGGGGUGGAAUUCCACGUGUAGCAGUGAAAUGCGUAGAUAUGUGGAGGAACACCGAUGGCGAAGGCAGCCCCCUGGGCCGACACUGACGCUCAGGCACGAAAGCGUGGGGAGCAAACAGG